UACGAAGGGGGCUAGCGUUGCUCGGAAUCACUGGGCGUAAAGCGCACGUAGGCGGCUUGUUAAGUCAGGGGUGAAAUCCUGGAGCUCAACUCCAGAACUGCCUUUGAUACUGGCGAGCUUGAGUCCGGGAGAGGUGAGUGGAACUGCGAGUGUAGAGGUGAAAUUCGUAGAUAUUCGCAAGAACACCCGUGGCGAAGGCGGCUCUCUGGUACGUGACUGACGCUGAGACGCGAAAGCGUGGGGAGCAAACAGG
rnacentral:rRNA from 1 species